GAUGAACGCUGGCGGCGUGCCUAAUACAUGCAAGUCGAGCGAACAGACGAGGAGCUUGCUCCUUUGACGUUAGCGGCGGACGGGUGAGUAACACGUAGGUAACCUACCUAUAAGACUGGGAUAACUUCGGGAAACCGGAGCUAAUACCGGAUAAUAUUUCGAACCGCAUGGUUCGAUAGUGAAAGAUGGCUUUGCUAUCACUUAUAGAUGGACCUGCGCCGUAUUAGCUAGUUGGUAAGGUAACGGCUUACCAAGGCAACGAUACGUAGCCGACCUGAGAGGGUGAUCGGCCACACUGGAACUGAGACACGGUCCAGACUCCUACGGGAGGCAGCAGUAGGGAAUCUUCCGCAAUGGGCGAAAGCCUGACGGAGCAACGCCGCGUGAGUGAUGAAGGUCUUCUGAUCGUAAAACUCUGUUAUUAGGGAAGAACAAACGUGUAAGUAACUGUGCACGUCUUGACGGUACCUAAUCAGAAAGCCACGGCUAACUACGU
rnacentral:rRNA from 1 species